GCAGUUCGCACUCUGCGGCCUCCUCAGGCACUAGAGCUUCCCCUGCGUCCGCCUUUGGGGGAGGGGAGGGAGUGAAGCUGUGAAUUCCGGGAGAAGUCAAGGGUCGCUCGGGGCGUGGGUCCGCGCGCGGAGGGGCUCGCUGUCCCGGUGCCAGCGGGAGCUGGAAAGCUUCGGCUGGGGCCUGAGUGGACGGGAAGGCGGCGGCCUCCGCGGGAUCCUUCCCGGGGCCGAUCCACAGUCAGGAUCCCCAGCUCCACCGCCAUCAAGUGGGACUGGAGUUCGGCCAGAGAAGAAAACGACUUCGGGAACUGGCAACGAGGGAGAGGGAAAAGUUGAGAAACGUGACUCAGCCUCUUUAGUUCAUCUUUCACGUGGGGCAGCGGAGGCCUGGCGGGGACGGGGAGCCGCUCGGGGACUGCAGGCCCGUAGGUCGCUCCCUAUCCGUGAGGGAUUGGUUGGUUCCAGGACACCUGCGGAUCCCAAAAUCUGCGGAUAAUCAAGUCCCUGUUAUAAAAUAUAAAAUGGGCUGGGCUCGGUGGCUUACGCCUGUAAUCCCAGCACUUUGUGGGGCCGAGGCGGGAGGAUCACUUGAGGUCAGGAGUUCGAGACCAGCCUGGCCAACAUGAUGAAAUCCCCGUAUCUACUAAAAAAAUAGAAAAAUUAGCUGGGCAUGGCGGCGGGCACCUGUAAUCCCAGCUACUCGGGAGGCUGAGGCACUAGAAUCUUCGCUUGAACCGAGGAAGCGGAGGUUGCAGUGAGCCGACAUUGCGCCACUGCACCCCAGCCUGGACGACAGAGCUAGACUCAGUAUAAAAAAUAAAAUAAAAAAUAUAAAAUGGUAUAUAGUAUUUGCAUAUAACCUACACACAUCCUCUCGUAUACUUUAAAUCAUCUCUAGAUUACUUAUACCUAAUACAGUGUAAAUGUUAUGUAGUUGUUAUACUGUAUUGUUUAGGGAAUGAUGACCAAAAAAAAGUACAUGUUUAGUGAAGAUGCUAUUUUUUUUUCCUGAAUAUUUUAGAUCCCUUGUUGGUUGAAUUCAGGAAUAUGAAGGGCCUACUGCACUUGAACCUCUGGCGCUGCCCUGCCUUCUGUGUUCCCUUCACAGCAUUCUCUGAUACCCUGUGACUCAGUUUCCCCAUUUGGCAGUUGGAAAAUAGAAAAGGAUUUAUUAAUAACUGAAGCUAGAGCUGUUGGAAAUGAAGCAUCAAGGUUUCCUACACAAAGGGAUUAGGAGGCUGGAGUGCAAUGGCGCGAUCUCGGCUCACCGCAACCUCUGCCUCCCGGGUUCAAGCGAUUCUCCUGCCUUAGCCUCCUGAGUAUCUGGGAUUACAGGCAUGCACCACCGCGCCCAGCUAAUUUUGUAGUUUUAGUAGAGAUGGGGUUUCUCCAUGUUGGUGAGGCUGGUCUCGAACUCCUGACCUCAGGUGAUCCGCCCGCCUCAGCCUCCCAAAGUGCUGGGAUUACAGGCGUGAGCCACCGUGCCCGGCCACGCCAGGCACUGUUCUAAGCACUUGAUAUGUAUUAACAAAUUUAACUUUCAUAACCCCAAGGUGUGGGAAUUAUUGUUAUCUCCAUUUUACAUUACUAUUAAUAUUGUUACCCUGUUAUUCCCAUUUCAUGGAGAAACUGAGAUAAAUAACAGUGAAGCCACUUGACCAAGGCCACCCAACUGGUAGUACAUGAUAGAGCCAGGAGGAUUUGAACCCAGCAAAUAUAUUUCCAGGGCCCCACUUCCUCAACCACUGUGUGUCUGCCUCUCCUAAUAAGAACGGGGUUACAGUGUACCACAUUCUGGAUGUUGGUCUAACAGUGUGAAUUCUUUUCAUUAUAUCAACCUCUUUCAGAGUGACUUAGAUUAUCUGUACCUGUAUAAAUGUUUAAUAUAUGCUAUCUGACCGGUGAUAAUGUUUCUACACACUGAAACUUCAAAGUACUAGCUUAAACAGGGCAAUUAAGGUCAUAUGUGAAAUUGAGAGGACUCCUUCCCCAAUGGUCCACAGCUUUCUUAAUUCUGCCAAGUGCUAUGGCCAAAAUCUUGACUUUCCCACCCAUAGUGGGUCCCAUUUUACCUAGUGGCAACCUUGAGUACCUACCCAUCUCCACAUCAAUGAUCCUAACUUCCUAUCUGCUGCUGUGUUUUCAAGGAUGCCGAAAAGGUCGUCCUGCCCACUCAAACAUAUCCCUUACCCCUGUAUGUGUAGAAACUGAACAGUUGGAGGUUUUCCUCUUGGUUUGAAGCCAAAAAUGAUAGUUCAUCUUUUGUUAAAAUGCAAAUAUCACAAGAGAGAAAAAUAAACUGGGCCUCAUCAGAUAUUUUCAUGUAAUGAGAAUGAGAUUACCAGAUCCUGGCCAAGCAUGGUGGCUCACACCUGUAAUCCCAGCACUUUGGGAGGCCAAGGCAAGUGGAUCACCAGAGGUCAGGAGUUCGAGACCAGCCUGGCCAAUGUGGUGAACCCCCGUCUCUACUAAUAAUACAAAAAAAAAAUCACUGAUCCUUCCUAAGAACAAGUUUUAGUAGGAGAGAGACCAGGACUAUCAACUCACCC
rnacentral:lncRNA from 1 species